ACCUAGAACGCAGACACUUUACCGGUAUAAGUAUAAAGAAAUUAUGUUAAUAAUGUAUAAUAACACAAUUUAUGAAUCACGUUUUCUACUCAAGGUAAUGAACAUACAAUGUAAAUACUUCAACUAAUUAUAACUUCUAUUCAAGAGAAAAUAAUAUACCUGAUGUGCGACCAUGAUGUAGUUGUAGCAGCACAGUUACACAGGACGAUCCUUGUCCGAAUGUGAAGUUUCAGCGUUGGCUACCUCCUUAAAUACUCGCAGACACGUGCCACGUCAUUGCUUUCCCGAAAGAAAAAGGUAGGGUAGGGGAACCUAAGUCUGAAGGUCGACAGGUCAAAUUUUUAUUUCCAGAUAAGCAAGAGGUUGUGGCCAUUCCCCCUCGAUUGACCUAAUGUGUUUCCAAGGGCCUAAAACAGUUGAAUAACCUCGGGCAAUUCACAAAAAGAAGAAAAGGAAGACAAAUAAAAAGGAAGUGGCUCAGUACUUCGUUUACCACCACGCCAUGAACAAGUGUAGAUUUCUUGCCUGCAAUCCCGGUGUAGUGAUUCACAGAACUUUCGCACGUGCACUUGGUUCUCGUCCCCAAUCUGUUUUGGUUUCGUAACUAGUAGAUUCAUUAAUUACGCACUAACAACGCAUCAGUAUCUGGUUUAGUCUCUGCACUGGUUUUGUUCAGUUGUUGAAUUGUGUUAAGUUGGGUAGUACGAUAAGUUUAGAUGCAAUAGAUAUACCUAGAUUGUGGUAAGGAUAAGUCAAUCUAAGAUUAAGUUAAGACUAGCGCUACUUUAAGUAAGGUGUAUUGCAUCUCACUCGUUCUGGUUGCACAGCACUACCUCGGCCAUUUUCCUUAAUUUACCUGUAGUGUUCGUUCGCGAAACAUUUCCAAGCAAUUCCAUGUUAUUACCUGUUCACACAUCUUGCCAAUGCCCCACAAAUCCCAACAUCCUCCCUAUUGAUACAUAACGAAUCUAUUUUUUGUUUUCAGGAACUUGUAAUUAAAUUUGAUUGUAAUUAUUGCAUGUUAAUUCAAAUUAUUUAAGCGUAUUUUUUUCUGUUUUGUUCGCUCAUUCAGGAGUGGGGUGAAUAUGUUGGACGUCGCAGAUCGCCAACGAAACAACUAGAACAGCGCCAAGAAUUUGCAAAGUAAGGUAUUUACCUUAACAAUUUUUGUGAACACGUUUUUUUUUAAUAUAUUGAGGGAGACUAUACCACUGAAGACGGGUGAGUGACUAGGAUCGUUGCUGUGACAUCAGAUUUAUUGCUAAAAUCUACACCAGGAUUAUUGCUAAGGUUUGCAAGAAGAGGUAAUAGCACCAUUGAGGAAGAUUGUUGGAAAUUGAGGCUUGUAUCUGGAGUUACCAAAAAUGGACAUUGGUCUUGGGUAUUAAUUCUAAAAUUUUACAUUGUUGGGCUGUCAUUUGUGUUUUUUAAAUGUAUGUCGGUGGUCUUGCGAUACUACCGAGGAGGGUGAUUGGGAAAUUAGGGUUAUUACCAAGCGUUUUACGGUAUUGACCUUAAAAUUUCAAGUAUUGAAUGCUGUGUUUGCUGUUUCUAUCUUAUGUGUCUAGAAAGCAAAAGAGGGGAGAUGUUGCACAUUGAAGAUCAUCUAGUCCCGAGAUGGAAGCCCACUAGGAGGGUUGAAUAAUGGACGAUGAAAUGGAUAAGUAUUGCCAAAACAUCAUUUGUUUACUUUUUUUUACAAUGUUAUUUCAUCGUUAGUUUCCAGAAAAAUGACGAAGGAAUGUAAGGUACCAACCUAAGAAAUUCAUGGUAAAACGUGUUUUUUUUUGUUUUGUUUGUGUUUUUUUAGAAGGGGUAAUAGCAACACAAAGGAGCAUUGGACAAUGACGUGUACCGUUGGGCUGAUCGCCAAAAUGUUAUAGAGGAGAUUUGAGACUGGAGUCAACUAGCUGUGUGAAAAAAUUGGUCGAUGAUUCAGUUAAGUAUUGCUAAAUUGUCAUUUAUUUCAUGUUUAAACUGUUAUCUGUAUGUUUUGUCUGGUAUCCUGCAAUUGCUUUUUCCCCACUAAUAUGUUCUGGCUAUUGGGUUAUGGUUUCACCUUGCACCGGCACGCACUUUAACUACACGUUUGCCCCGUGGUUCUUUUACUGCUUUAGUUAAAUUGUAUGCAUCGGGUAGGGAUGGUUGUAUUUAGAUUAUGUAGUACAGCUAACAUUGGUAUAACGGUUGAUAAUGGGUUGGUGUAUUUUAAUUAACACUAAUUUUUUUCACAGGAUGAAUUGGUUUGAUUUUUUCUGUUUUGUUUUGAAUGUGGACAUUUCUGGAAAAUGGAAUGGCAUAAUUUACCCGGUCGAUCGGUUCAACCCGUUUUAAUAAGCCGAUGAAAUUUGAUGGUGCCAAAACACGUCACAUUCUGCAGAUAUUACAUAUUUAAUAACAAAUUCAAGUGUUAUCUUACCGACUAUUAUUUUACAGGCUAGGCUUGAAGACAAGAUUGAGCAAUAUAAACAGGCUGUAAAUCUGGAUUACCAUGCGGGGGUAUGUGUGCUGCAGCAUCAAUUGUUUCUCCCAUUUAACUUUUAUUGAGUUUUUACCUCAGUUUUUUCUGAGUGUAUAAAGUUAAGCAAAUCAAGGAUACCGUUACAUAUUUCAAAUUUCAUGUUAACGAUUCUUUAUUUGGCAUUAAUUCACGUUUGAUUGUUUUAGAAUAUACUGAAGACUGUAAGUGAACGGGAAGAUAUGGCAGAAUAAUCUACACUGUAGAUUAUCACUUGACAUGUCGGUGUAGUGAUUCAGAGAACAUGUAUAUAUGCAAGUUCAUGUAGUUUUCGUAUACAACCUAGAUAUGUUCGUUUUUUUCUUACAAACUGACUAGAAUAACAAAUUUGUUAAAUGAACUGGUGAUAUGUAUGUAGGAAAGUCAGACCUAUUGUCAUAAAUUAAAAAUUUUAAGACGUAGCGAAAAAAGAUAUAAGAAAAAGAUUAUUAGGAAUAGUAGAUUAUAAAAUAUUUCUUUCCGAUUGGGUUUCAUUUAAUACGUUACCGCACGGAAAAGAAAUAAUAUCGCCUAAUAAUAUAAAUAAUCUAUGUAAAAUAUCAAGCACUUCUAAUGAUUAGGGUGGAAGGUAUUAAUGGAGAUGGAAUAUUGGAUGGUAAUAUUGAUAUUUGAUUAAAAAAUCGGUGACGGUUGUUGUACAUAUGUUGUGGUAUAAUAACAAUUAUUGAGUCAAAAGUCGGUAGGUAAAAAAAGAUUUAUAUUAUUUAAAUUAUAAAUAAAAUAAAAUUAGUAAAUUAAAAAACGCGCAAUAAAUUAUGAAGAAUAAAAAAAUGGAACACUGUUUAACAUAUUUGCACACUCCUCUGUUAAGCAAACAAGUAUAAAUGAUAUGUUUUACAAAUUCAUUCAAAUUCAACCUUGGUUGUAGAAGUGACGCGAAUCUAUAGCAUCGCUUGUAGUAGGGCUUUACGUCGUAAAACUCUGUCAUACUGUAUUGGUCUAAUAUCAGUAAACAGAUUGAGCUUAUCUUGCUACAAAUAAGACUUUGUCUUGCAUCCACACUGUCUUGAGCAAAAGAUGAAUUAUUAUUUUGCUUUGUUGUUUUGUUCUUCGCUUAAUUUUUUUAAUGUUAAUUUG